rnacentral:rRNA from 1 species
CCUACGGGGGGCAGCAGUCGAGAAUCAUUCACAAUGGGGGAAACCCUGAUGGUGCGACGCCGCGUGGGGGAAUGAAGGUCUUCGGAUUGUAAACCCCUGUCAUGUGGGAGCAAAUUAAAAAGAUAGUACCACAAGAGGAAGAGACGGCUAACUCUGUGCCAGCAGCCGCGGUAAUACAGAGGUCUCAAGCGUUGUUCGGAAUCACUGGGCGUAAAGCGUGCGUAGGCUGUUUCGUAAGUCGUGUGUGAAAGGCGCGGGCUCAACCCGCGGACGGCACAUGAUACUGGGAGACUAGAGUAAGGGAGGGGGAACCGGAAUUCUCGGUGUAGCAGUGAAAUGCGUAGAUAUCGAGAGGAACACUCGGGGCGAAGGCGGGUUCCUGGACAUUAACUGACGCUGAGGCACGAAGGCCAGGGGAGCGAAAGGGAUUAGAUACCCGAGUAGUC